GUCUGCGGAACUGAUGUACCAAUCCAGGUCCAGGAACGCGUGGACCAGCAAGAUGUGGGUUUGGAGGUGGAGACCAAAAGAGAAGCCUCGAAUGCUCACCGUGUGCUCUCAGCUCCUGUAGCCUGAGGGAGGCGUCCUGGUCUCAUUUCACGGGUGGAAAUGUGGGGUUCCUAGAGGAGAAGUGACACGCCCAGCUUGCAGCCCUGCCCUCCCGGCUUGGGACUGGAUGUGGUGGUGCCACCCAGCAGUGAGGCGUCCCUAUACGUCAGAGCCCGGGUUUGAGCUCUGCUCCUCUCUCUGUGUGGUCUGUGAGGAUUGGGUAAGGCCUGGACAUGGCGGUCAGAGCUCAUGUGAAGAGGCAAAUUACCGAUACGUGAGGAUUUAAGAAGCAAGCCAGCACCUGAAGGACGUGGAGAAGGUCUGCUGUGCAGCAUCACAUGGGGCUUUGUCCGACCCCCCAGCCCCCCAACGUGUGUGACCACUUGUCUUUUGUUGGUUUUCCAACCCCUGGAAAGUUUUGGAGUUUUCCAGCUCUCCUCCCCUCCCCUCCCCU